AGGUUUUCCUAACGAUCCUCAAUAGGUUUUUCUGGUCUUUCAUCUGACAUUCCUUUUAGUUCUAUAUUUUCCGGGUUCUUAGUUUCUGAUAGCAGGUGAACCUUGUUGAGUGUUCCUGCUUCUUCAGUUUUGGGUCGGUAUGCCUUGCUUAUCUUUCAAGGCUGUUUGAUUCGAUGUCUUAGGCGCUCCACUAUUACCUUGUUUUAAUUAAGUUUGGAUUUUUGACAAUGUAAUGACUAUUAUGGAUUAUUGUUUUUGUUUUAAUUACUGAUGAGGAGUUUUAAACUA